ensembl:lncRNA
ACUACUUUAAGGUUGUUCUCUGACAAAUACUCUGAACUCAAGGAUGUGUUUACCUGCCCUUGUUGUGCUGGCGUUAAGAUAAUAUUAUUGUGUGUUAACCCUGAGAAACCAAUAGACGGCAUCCUUGCUCUUGACAUGUUAGAGAAUGACUAAUCAAUUCCAGUUGUUUGUAAAGGUUAUCAAACUACAACCUCUAAUCACUCUUGAGGAGACUGUGAUUAGAAAAGUGCCAUGAAGUGCCAUUUUAACACACCAAUCAUUCAUACUAAAAACAUAUUUUUAUUUAUUUAUUUAUUUUAUUUCUUUCUUUAUGUUAUUUCUGACAAAAAUCAGCUGACGCACCCUUGACUGUUCUAAUCAUCCUCAAACUACAGAGUCGGAUUCUGCAAUCAGAGAUUGUUUUUUCGCUGUUAUUUUGGAAUAAAUUAGUUGUAAGGCAUGGAGGACAGUGUUGGACUGGCCAGCUUUAAAUAGACUCUCGGGGUGAAGCAUACUUGGUCUUAAACACAGGAAGCUCAGCCUUAUGAGAGGAGGAGAGAACGGCCCUCUAAACUCCAGGAAAUGGGCCUUCAGGACGAGCAAUCUUCACCAGGCACAGGGUCACGGGCACUUAAACACUGUCUACUGCUGCCUGCGGGUUACAGAACGCCUGUUUGCUGACAGCCGCUGGAUGGCUGUAACCCACAUCCCCUUCCCUCAUGCUGAUUAAGUGCUGCGAUAAGCAGCCCGGCCCCGGCCCUCAGGGACCCGACUCACAGAACCUGAAAUGAUGUCUGAAAUUAUCUGGAAGUAGGAAGGGAGGAACUCUGAGGAGGAGGAGAUGCAAAAAAGACAUGUUGUGUUUGGAGCAGAAGAUAUACCCUUCUGUUUGAACAUAUUUCAGGUUUCAUAAACAGAUGAGUAAGAUUUUGGACCAGAUUGAGCAUCAGUGUGACCAACAAGAUUAACAUGGAAGAGCUGGCUAGAGAUUGUUGCUGGCGUGGUUUAGUGGUUUGCACAUGUGACACAUUGUGCUAGCGUUGAAACGUGUAAUUCAGUCAGAUUAAGUAACAAGUAACAACCCACAUUGGAGUUUAAUCACAGGAGCCAUUGAAACCCAGUUCAAACUUGAAACAAUACAUACAGUAUGUUCUUCGCUUAGUGCUGCGGUUACACUGUCCUCUGCAUUUAACGCACAAUCUGAAGUUCACAAAACAGGGCCUUGUGUCCUAAACCCUUCCAUGUGUGCAGAAGUUUGCUGUUCCCCAAAAUCUGCUCAAUCAAAUUGUUCAUAGCAAAUUUAGCAAACAACGUUCAUCGCCUUAUAGUAACUGCUACACACUAGUCUUGUCACUGUAGCAUGCUUACAUGCACCCAAAUAGUCCGUUAGUAAUCGGAUAAAUGGCUCAGUCAUUAUAUUUCUUUAAAGGAAAAUAUCUCCCUUUGCAUUGAUCUUUGAGCGUCGCACCUUUGCAGACGUUGUUUAUGUUCUAACAGCAACAUUACACACUAACUAAAGUUUAAAAGUGAAAUCAUAAUCAGC